ACUCAAGUACGUAACAAGGUAACAAGUAAAGUGUUCGAUACUGGCUCUACACGUGGGUAACCUGGCCAUAAGACUGGGAUAACUCCGGGAAACCGGGGCUAAUACCGGAUAACAUUUUGAACCGCAUGGUUCUAAAUUGAAAGGCGGCUUCGGUUGUCACUUAUGGAUGGACCCGCCUCGCAUUACCUAGUUGGUGAGGUAACGGUUCACCAAGGCAACAAUGCGUACCCAACCUGAAAGGGGGAUCGGCCCCCCUGGGACUGAAACCCGGCCCAAACUCCUACGGAAGGCAGCAGAAGGAAAUCUUCCGCAAGGGACAAAAGUCUGACGGACCACCCCCGCGGGAGGGAUGAAGGCUUUCGGGUCGAAAAACUCUGUUGUUAGGGAAAAACAAUGGCUAGUUGAAUGAGCUGGCCCCUUGACGGCAUCUACCCAAAAACCCACGGAUAUCUACGUGCCAACACCCGCGGUAAUACAUAGGGGGCAAGCGUUAUCCGAAAUUAUUGGGCGUAAAGCGCGCGCACGUGGUUUCUUAACUCUGAUGUGAAACCCCACCUCUCACCCGUGGAGGGUCAUUGGACUCUGGAACACUUGAGCGCAGAAGAAGAAAGUGGAAUUCCGUGUGUAGCGGAGAAGUGCAUAGAUAUAUGGAGGAACAACAGUGGAGAACGACACUUUCUGUGUCUGUAUGUGACUCUGGGUGCGAGAAAGCGUGGGGCAGCACACGAGUAUUAUA
rnacentral:rRNA from 1 species